rnacentral:SRP_RNA from 1 species
AGUCUGACUCACGGCAAUUGUAUUCAUGGUGAACUCCGCCAGGUCGGGAACGAAGCAACGGUAACUUUUGGUAUGAUGUGUCGUUGAGUUAGGCUGCC